rnacentral:ncRNA from 1 species
CUCUGUCGAGGGCCUGAUGCAGGAUCAGGGCGAGGAAGGAG